GAUGAACGCUGGCGGCGUGCCUAAUACAUGCAAGUCGAGCGAACAGAUGAGGAGCUUGCUCCUCUGACGUUAGCGGCGGACGGGUGAGUAACACGUGGAUAACCUACCUAUAAGACUGGGAUAACUUCGGGAAACCGGAGCUAAUACCGGAUAAUAUAUUGAACCGCAUGGUUCAAUAGUGAAAGACGGUUUUGCUGUCACUUAUAGAUGGAUCCGCGCCGCAUUAGCUAGUUGGUAAGGUAACGGCUUACCAAGGCAACGAUGCGUAGCCGACCUGAGAGGGUGAUCGGCCACACUGGAACUGAGACACGGUCCAGACUCCUACGGGAGGCAGCAGUAGGGAAACUUCCGCAAUGGGCGAAAGCCUGACGGAGCAACGCCGCGUGAGUGAUGAAGGUCUUCGGAUCGUAAAACUCUGUUAUUAGGGAAGAACAAAUGUGUAAGUAACUAUGCACGUCUUGACGGUACCUAAUCAGAAAGCCACGGCUAACUACGUG
rnacentral:rRNA from 1 species